UUUCCAAACAACAUUUAAAUCAUAAAUCAUACGUUAACUGCUUCCAAUAUUGUGGCUUAAUUGUGUUACUAUAAAUAUAUUUCGGUUUUGUACUGUAUCUCACACUACAUCUACUGUAUCGCUAACGGUUACCGUAUAGCUAAUUGCUAUCAAUCAGUUCCAUAUAGUCCGUAUUUGGAAACUAUGAAUAAAUCAACUAUUUCUAAACUUACGUGGAUUAUUUGGCACACAAUUUGGCAAAACAUUCAAAUAUGAUUGCAUACUGUUUAGUAUCAUGAAAAGUUGUCACACAUACAUUGAAGUCUUAUGGUUUGAUAGUAAACAUACCGUACGCGGAGUAGUUAUAUUGCACUUGUGUGCGUUUUGUGAAAUCGGAGAAAAUUUUUCACCAGUCAAACUGCCAUAUUUGUGUUCAUUUCUGCGAAUCGAGUGUCGAAACUUGUUUGAAGUGAAAUAAGGAAUGCAUACUUCUUAGGACUUCAGAGUGGUGCUGCAAAAUAUUUACAGGUAAGUGUUAUUAUUAUUUUUCAUCGAAGUCAGAGUUGACAAUGUUCUUUUUCUUUUUAAGAGUUUCAACAGUGCCGAAGGAUCGUGGAACCAGAAUAUCAUCCCCAAUGCUGAAUCUAGGCGCUGAAUUCAACUUGAACCUGUUUCGCAACUUUCAGCGGAAAUAAAGUUUCUGGAGUAGAUACACGAA